UACGAAGGGAGCUAGCGUUGUUCGGAAUCACUGGGCGUAAAGCGCGCGUAGGCGGACCUGCAAGUCGGGGGUGAAAGCCCGAGGCUCAACCUCGGAACUGCCUUCGAUACUGCGGGUCUCGAGUCCGGGAGAGGUGAGUGGAAUUCCUAGUGUAGAGGUGAAAUUCGUAGAUAUUAGGAAGAACACCAGUGGCGAAGGCGGCUCACUGGCCCGGUACUGACGCUGAGGCGCGGAAAGCGUG
rnacentral:rRNA from 1 species